UCAGCACCAACGGUGGGUAAUGAAGG
rnacentral:piRNA from 1 species